rnacentral:rRNA from 1 species
GACGAGCGCUGGCGGCGUGCUUAACACAUGCAAGUCGAACGGAAAGGCCCUGCUUUUGUGGGGUGCUCGAGUGGCGAACGGGUGAGUAACACGUGAGUAACCUGCCCUUGACUUUGGGAUAACUUCAGGAAACUGGGGCUAAUACCGGAUAGGAGCUCCUGCUGCAUGGUGGGGGUUGGAAAGUUUCGGCGGUUGGGGAUGGACUCGCGGCUUAUCAGCUUGUUGGUGGGGUGGUGGCUUACCAAGGCUAUGACGGGUAGCCGGCCUGAGAGGGUGACCGGCCACAUUGGGACUGAGAUACGGCCCAGACUCCUACGGGAGGCAGCAGUGGGGAAUAUUGCACAAUGGGCGGAAGCCUGAUGCAGCAACGCCGCGUGCGGGAUGACGGCCUUCGGGUUGUAAACCGCUUUCGCCUGUGACGAAGCGUGAGUGACGGUAAUGGGUAAAGAAGCACCGGCUAACUACGUG